rnacentral:tRNA from 1 species
GCGGGUAUAGUUUAGUGGUAAAACCAAGCUAACGAUGCGGGUUCGAUUCCUGCUACCCGC